rnacentral:rRNA from 1 species
CCUACGGGUGGCAGCAGUCGAGAAUCUUUGACAAUGGGCGAAACCCUGAUCCUGCGACGCCGCGUGGGGGAAUGAAGGCCUUCGGUUUGUAACUUCCUGUCAUCUGGGAGCAAAUUAUGAAGAUAGUACCACAAGAAGAAAAGACGGCUAACUCUGUGCCAGCAGCCGCGGUAAUACAGUGGUCUCAGGCGUUGGUCGGAAUCAUGGGGCGUAAAGCGUGCGUAGGCGGUGUCGUAAGUCGUGUGUGAAAGGCGCGGGCACAAUCCGCGGACGGCGCAUGAUACUGCGCGACUGGAGUGAUGGAGAGGGAGGCGGAAUUCGCGGUGUAGCAGUGAAAUGCGUAGAUAUCGGGAGGAACACUCGUGGCGAAGGCGGGUUCCUGGACAUUAACUGACGCUGAGGCACGAAGGCGAGGGGAGCGAACAGGAUUAGAUACCCCAGUAGUC